GAAAUUGAAUUGGUUUGAUAAAUUUAUGAAGUAGGCGAAAUUAAGUGAAAGAAGAAAAAGAAAAUAGAGAAAUGAGCAUAGAAGAAUAGGUAAAUGCAUGCAAAUUUGGGACACUAAUUAUUGGAAUUUUUGCAUUGCUAUAUAUUCAAAAGCAAAGCUUCCUCCUAAAGCCAAAAAUCUAAAGUCUUAAGCAAUGAUGGAGUGGA
rnacentral:lncRNA from 1 species